GUUUUUAUAGCUCAACGGUAGAGCAAAAUAUUGUUAAUAUUUUGAUAGAUGUUCAAUUCAUCUUAAAGGCU
rnacentral:tRNA from 1 species